CUGUAGGUGGAGGUAAAGAGGUAUGUGACUGUAGGUGGAGGUAAAGAGGUAUGGGACUGUAGGUGGAGGUAUAGAGGUAUGUGACUGUAGGUGGAGGUAUAGAGGUAUGGGACUGUAGGUGGAGGUAUAGAGGUAUGUGACUGUAGGUGGAGGUAUAGAGGUAUGUGACUGUAGGUGGAGGUAAAGAGGUAUGUGACUGUAGGUGGAGGUAAAGAGGUAUGUGACUGUAGGUGGAGGUAAAGAGGUAUGUGACUGUAGGUGGAGGUAUAGAGGUAUGGGACUGUAGGUGGAGGUAAAGAGGUAUGUGACUGUAGGUGGAGGUAUAGAGGUAUGUGACUGUAGGUGGAGGUAUAGAGGUAUGGGACUGUAGGUGGAGGUAUAGAGGUAUGGGACUGUAGGUGGAGGUAUAGAGGUAUGGGACUGUAGGUGGAGGUAUAGAGGUAUGGGACUGUAGGUGGAGGUAUAGAGGUAUGGGACUGUAGGUGGAGGUAAAGAGGUAUGGGACUGUAGGUGGAGGUAUAGAGGUAUGGGACUGUAGGUGGAGGUAUAGAGGUAUGGGACUGUAGGUGGAGGUAUAGAGGUAUGUGACUGUAGGUGGAGGUAUAGAGGUAUGUGACUGUAGGUGGAGGUAAAGAGGUAUGGGACUGUAGGUGGAGGUAUAGAGGUAUGUGACUGUAGGUGGAGGUAUAGAGGUAUGGGACUGUAGGUGGAGGUAUAGAGGUAUGGGACUGUAGGUGGAGGUAUAGAGGUAUGGGACUGUAGGUGGAGGUAUGUGACUGUAGGUGGAGGUAUAGAGGUAUGUGACUGUAGGUGGAGGUAUAGAGGUAUGGGACUGUAGGUGGAGGUAUAGAGGUAUGUGACUGUAGGUGGAGGUAUAGAGGUAUGUGACUGUAGGUGGAGGUAUAGAGGUAUGGGACUGUAG